rnacentral:lncRNA from 1 species
GAUCGAACCCUUACCGAUCCUCAACAAUCAUCCAUACACCAAUCGCUUUAUUGGUGUAUCAUCAUUUUCAUCAUUCCCGGCAACAACAACAACAACGACGACGUCCACCACACCGACGACGAUAGCCCAGCUAGUAGAACGGAAACAGUAGUCUAGCAUCAGCAUUUCAUCACCUGACAACAUAGGUAGCAUUUACGUGGACAACCACCGAACGAGACCACUAAACGAAGCCACAGCCCUUUGGACCCGCGGCAUCAGCAGUUCUUCCACAGCAACAGCAUAAGCAUUGCAGUAGGUAGUGAGGUUUGAUCGUAAUCAAUAAUUGAAUAAAGGUUCAGUUCGUUUUAGGCAGUAGAUCGAAUAAGUUCUUUUUUUAAAACUUAGUCUGGGUGACACCCUUCUUCACUGGCGCAGUCGGCAGUUCUAGCGUGGAGUAGUUAAAGUGUAGUGAAAAGUGUUCUUAUCCGAAAUCAUCGGCGGCUUACCGAAGAGCAAAGGAGGAAACACCUAAACUACAGAUUCUAGUGCACCGGCGGUUUACCGAGACACCAAAAUCAUCUUUAACGAAGCUUCACACCUGCUAGAAGACAUCGAACCAUCCGAGGGAAUAUCGGACAAUCGAACCAUCCGAGGGAAUAUCGGACAAUUUAACCAUCCGAGGGAACAUCGGAUAAAACCCAUCCAUACAGCUACCAACAUGAAACCACGUGAAAUUUUAUAUGCAGCCAAAAAUGGACAGGAGAGACCGAUAGAAAUGGAACGCCUUGUUGAACUUCGUGACAAGUUGUACGACGAAGUUCAAGUACAACUAACCAAGACACAAAACUCACAGAAUCUGUACCACAACAGGAAACGAGAGGAUCCGCCAAAACUAAAACAAAACGAAUUGGCAUAUAACCGCAUCCAAGGAGUGAAGUCGAAAAUUAAGGACCGCUACCAACAAGUGCGAGUACGAUCUAACCGGAAACACACGUACAAAGAUAUCCUAAGUCGAAAAUUGCAUAAAGAAAAACUGCGACGAAUCCGAAAGUAACACCACAGAAUCUCUAAUGUGUUUUUUCAUUUGUUUUCUCUUUUUAGAUGACGUUUAUUUGGAAUAUCCUGAUAACAACCACAUUCCUUACUCAGCUAUCCCAACCACAAUCCAUCCACGUCAUUAAUCUCAAACAAAACCCCGGUCUUUUAACCAUAGAAACUGGCAACAGUUUUAUAAAAAUAGGCAAUCACAGAUUGUUUCAUAUCCUAGAACUGGAUAAUUACGAACCUAUUUUUAGAAAAUUGCUUGCUAAUAUCCAAGGAAUACGGACAUUCUCAAAUUUUACUGAUAUGUUUGAAAUCUUAGAAUCGAAAUAUGGAACCGUUCACAGUUUAUUCAAUAAUCUUCGGCCAAAGCAAAGAAAUAAAAGAGGAUUAUUUAAUUUUCUCGGAACUGGAAUAAAAAGAAUUACAGGAAAUAUGGACCAUAACGACUAUGAACAAAUUUCGAAAAAUAUUUUUGAACUGCAGAUCAAGAACAAAAGACUUAUUAACGAAAACAACGAACAGCUUAAAAUUAAUCUACAACUCCAAAAUAGAAUCAAUUCCAUUAUCAACCGUUUAAAUCAACAACAGAGUGAAAUAACUAAAAACAUUAUAUCAGCUAGAUUUGAAAACGAAACCAACAAAAACUUUAAAU